rnacentral:rRNA from 1 species
CCUACGGGAGACAGCAGUGAGGAAUAUUGGUCAAUGGACGAGAGUCUGAACCAGCCAAGUAGCGUGAAGGAUGACUGCCCUAUGGGUUGUAAACUUCUUUUAUAUGGGAAUAAAAUGUUCCACGUGUGGGAUUUUGUAUGUACCAUAUGAAUAAGGAUCGGCUAACUCCGUGCCAGCAGCCGCGGUAAUACGGAGGAUCCGAGCGUUAUCCGGAUUUAUUGGGUUUAAAGGGAGCGUAGGUGGAUUGUUAAGUCAGUUGUGAAAGUUUGCGGCUCAACCGUAAAAUUGCAGUUGAAACUGGCAGUCUUGAGUACAGGAGAGGUGGGCGGAAUUCGUGGUGUAGCGGUGAAAUGCUUAGAUAUCACGAAGAACUCCGAUUGCGAAGGCAGUUCACUGGACUGCAACUGACACUGAGGCUCGAAAGUGUGGGUAUCAAACAGGAUUAGAUACCCCAGUAGUC